GCUCAGUUAGAGAUGUCUUCCUGAUCCAUCUUGCACCAUUAAAUUGGUCAGAUGAUAAGUUUUCUUAUGUUUGGGGCGAUCUCGAAUCUUGCACUAGAGAUAUGAUAUAGCUCAAGUUGCUCGAGGGAGAUGAGGGAGAGAGAAAAUGGGCAAAUAAUAAAGAUCAUCUUCCUAGAUGGGAGAGGGGUCGAAAGACAAGGAAGGCGAC
rnacentral:lncRNA from 1 species